AGAGUUUGAUCCUGGCUCAGAACGAACGCUGGCGGCGUGGAUUAGGCAUGCAAGUCGAACGGGAUCCUUUAGCUUCAAGUUUUCGGACAAGAAGCUUCUGGUGAGAGUGGCGAACUGGUGAGUAACGCGCGGGCAAUUUGCCCUUAAGUCGGGAAUAGCCUCUGGAAACGGGGGGUAAUGCCGGAUGUGAUCAUACUGCGCAUGCAGUAUUGUUUAAAGGUGGGGAUCUUCGGACCUGCCGCUUAAGGAUGGGCCCACGUACUAUCAGCUUGUUGGUGAGGUAACGGCUCACCAAGGCUAAGACGGUUAGCUGGUCUGAGAGGAUGGUCAGCCACACCGGGACUGAGACACUGCCCAGACUCCUACGGGAGGCUGCAGUCGAGAAUCAUUCGCAAUGCACGAAAGUGUGACGAUGCGACGCCGCGUGUAGGACGAAGGCCUUCGGGUUGUAAACUACUGUCAUGAGGGGGCAAUAGCUCCUGUGUUAAUACCACUGGAGUGUGAUAGUACCUCAAGAGGAAGCCACGGCUAACUCCGUGCCAGCAGCCGCGGUAAUACAGAGGUGGCGAGCGUUGUUCGGAUUUACUGGGCGUAAAGGGUGCGCAGGCGGUUUUGUGUGUCAGGUGUGAAAUCCCAGCGUUUAUCGGUGGAACUGCACUUGAAACUGCAAAACUAGAGUACAGGAGAGGAGAGCGGAAUUCUUGGUGUAGCGGUGAAAUGCGUAGAUAUCAAGAAGAACACCGAUGGCGAAGGCAGCUCUCUGGACUGUUACUGACGCUCAUGCACGAAAGCUGGGGGAGCGAAGAGGAUUAGAUACCCUCGUAGUCCCAGCCGUAAACGGUGUGCACUUGGUGUAGGUGGAAUUGUCCCCAUCUGUGCCGAAGCUAACGCGAUAAGUGCACCGCCUGGGGAGUACGGCCGCAAGGCUAAAACUCAAAGGAAUUGACGGGGGCCUCACAAGCGGUGGAGCAUGUGGCUUAAUUCGAUGCAACGCGAAGAACCUUACCCAGGCUUGACAUGCCCGUCGUAUCCUAUCGAAAGACUGGAGUCAGUUCGGCUGGACGGUGCACAGGUGCUGCAUGGCUGUCGUCAGCUCGUGCCGUGAGGUGUUGGGUUAAGUCCCGCAACGAGCGCAACCCUUGUGUUCAGUUGCCAGCGGGUAAUGCCGGGAACUCUGAACAGACUGCCCGUGAUAAGCGGGAGGAAGGUGGGGAUGACGUCAAGUCAGUAUGGUCCUUAUGCCUGGGGCUGCACACGUGCUACAAUGGUCGGUACAGAAGGAAGCAAGACCGCGAGGUGGAGCUAAUCCCCAAAACCGGCCACAGUUCGGAUUGGAGUCUGCAACUCGACUCCAUGAAGCCGGAAUCGCUAGUAAAGGCGUAUCAGCUACGACGCCUUGAAUACGUUCCCGGGCCUUGUACACACCGCCCGUCACAUCACGAAAGUUGACUGCACCCGAAGUCACUGAUCUAACCUUAGGGAAGAAGGUGCCGAAGGUGUGGUGGAUGAUUGUGAUGAAGUCGUAACAAGGUA
rnacentral:rRNA from 1 species